GACGAACGCUGGCGGCGCGCCUAACACAUGCAAGUCGAACGGAGCUUAGAGAGCUUGCUUUUUAAGCUUAGUGGCGAACGGGUGAGUAACGCGUGAGUAACCUGCCCUAGAGUGGGGGACAACAGUUGGAAACGACUGCUAAUACCGCAUAAGCCCACGGUACCGCAUGGUACUGAGGGAAAAGGAUUUAUUCGCUUUAGGAUGGACUCGCGUCCAAUUAGCUAGUUGGUGAGGUAACGGCCCACCAAGGCGACGAUUGGUAGCCGGACUGAGAGGUUGAACGGCCACAUUGGGACUGAGACACGGCCCAGACUCCUACGGGAGGCAGCAGUGGGGGAUAUUGCACAAUGGGGGAAACCCUGAUGCAGCGACGCCGCGUGGAGGAAGAAGGUUUUCGGAUUGUAAACUCCUGUCGUUAGGGACGAUAAUGACGGUACCUAACAAGAAAGCACCGGCUAACUACGUGCCAGCAGCCGCGGUAAAACGUAGGGUGCAAGCGUUGUCCGGAAUUACUGGGUGUAAAGGGAGCGCAGGCGGGAAGACAAGUUGGAAGUGAAAACCAUGGGCUCAACCCAUGAAUUGCUUUCAAAACUGUUUUUCUUGAGUAGUGCAGAGGUAGAUGGAAUUCCCGGUGUAGCGGUGGAAUGCGUAGAUAUCGGGAGGAACACCAGUGGCGAAGGCGGUCUACUGGGCACCAACUGACGCUGAGGCUCGAAAGCAUGGGUAGCAAACAGGAUUAGAUACCCUGGUAGUCCAUGCCGUAAACGAAGAUUACUAGGUGUUGGGGGAUUGACCCCCCUCAGUGCGGCAGUUAACACAACAAGUAAUCCACCUGGGGAGUACGACCGCAAGGGUGAAAAUCAAAGGAAUAGACGGGGGCCCGCACAAGCACUGGAAGUAUGUGGUUUAAUUUGAAGCAACGCGAAGAACCUUACCAGGUCUUGACAUCCGAUGCAUAGCACAGAGAUGUGUGAAAUCCUUCGGGACAUCGAGACAGGUGGUGCAUGGUUGUCGUCAGCUCGUGUCGUGAGAUGUUGGGUUAAGACCCGCAACGAGCGCAACCCUUAUUGCCAGUUACUACGUUAAGAGGACUCUGGCGAGACUGCCGUUGACAAAACGGAGGAAGGUGGGGAUGACGUCAAAUCAUCAUGCCCUUUAUGACCUGGGCUACACACGUACUACAAUGGCGUUAAACAAAGAGAAGCAAGACCGCGAGGUGGAGCAAAACUCAAAAACAACGUCUCAGUUCAGAUUGCAGGCUGCAACUCGCCUGCAUGAAGUCGGAAUUGCUAGUAAUCGCGGAUCAGCAUGCCGCGGUGAAUACAAUCCCGGGCCUUGUAC
rnacentral:rRNA from 1 species